rnacentral:rRNA from 1 species
GAUGAACGCUAGCGGGAGGCCUAACACAUGCAAGCCGAGCGGUAUUGUUUCUUCGGAAAUGAGAGAGCGGCGUACGGGUGCGUAACACGUGUGCAACCUGCCUUUAUCUGGGGGAUAGCCUUUCGAAAGGAAGAUUAAUACUCCAUAAUAUAUUGAACGGCAUCGUUUAAUAUUGAAAGCUCCGGCGGAUAGAGAUGGGCACGCGCAAGAUUAGCUAGUUGGUGAGGUAACGGCUCACCAAGGCGAUGAUCUUUAGGGGGCCUGAGAGGGUGAUCCCCCACACUGGUACUGAGACACGGACCAGACUCCUACGGGAGGCAGCAGUGAGGAAUAGUGGUCAAUGGGUGCAAGCCUGAACCAGCCAUCCCGCGUGAAGGACGACUGCCCUAUGGGUUGUAAACUUCUUUUGUAUAGGGAUAAACCUACCCUCGUGAGGGUAGCUGAAGGUACUAUACGAAUAAGCACCGGCUAACUCCGUG